GAUUAAAAUAAUGGCCAACUGGUGACAUCGGAUAUAGUGAAUUUUUUUAUAAGAUCCAAAUGUAACAGAAGUGGAACUAGGGAGGUUUUUAGAGACUUCUGGAGUACAUGGAUGUUUUAUAAUAUAGAAUUUUAUGUUAAUUAAAUGGCGAAUUUGUGAACUAUAUACAGUAACGAUAAAUAGGUUUAAUUUAUUUGUUAAGUAUGUACCUGGUUGUAUGAAAUAGAUUUUUAAAAAACAAGAGGAAGUGGUUUUGGGAAGAUAUGGCGUUUCCUAGGGAUUUACUUAGGUAGUUUGUGGUCAGUUGGUUGAAAAAGUAUGGGAAGAUUCGUUUAGUGUGUUAAAAAGAGGUGUUUAAAAUGCAGAAUGCAAGUAGAAAAUAUUUCUCUGUGGAUUUAUUAUAAGUCUUUCGGUGUUAGGAAGAUGUAUUAUAAGCAACUGUAUUUUUACAUUCUCGGAACCUAUACAGUUUCUACAAACCAUGUCCAGUAAGAAUCUUAUUCUAAGAUUCCAAUAAUGCUAGCAUUGCAAAUGGUAGGAAAUGAAAUGUCUAGUGGACUCAGCUUACAUGCAGAAGCCUCAACAACAAUAACAGUAUAGCACAAGCAACCUGACCAACCAUCAACAAAAUAUAGACAAAAAGAAAAAAGAAGGAAGGAAUACUAAAGUAAUUAAAAUACUGAUUCGCAGUCUCAAUACACCAAGUCUCCUCUGUUCUCGACAUCAGUCUCCGGACGUAUGUUUAUUACGAGAAAGUAGACAGGAUUGAAAACUAAAUGAACUUUAAAAACUAAAAUAAUUAAAAAAGUCGAUGUCUACAAGUACAGACGCACAGCGUGCUGCUUUCAAUGCAAAAAAAAGGGUCUUAUUACGAGAAAGUAUUGGCAACUAAGUGAUUGCGGACUUUAUCAUUAGGUGGUAUCGACAAAAUCCGCAAUCACUUAGUUUCCAACCCAAUAGAACAAGAACAAAGACUCCAUGAUACACAUAGAAGUUUCGAGAAAUUUGAUCAAUGUUUCUAACAAAGACCAUAUAAAAUAGACAAAUCCAUAUAAAUUGGCACGAGAAACUAAAAUAAUUAAAAUAUUCAUAUUUCUGAGAACUGAUACACAGCUGCUUGUCUUCAAUACGAAAGGAAUGAACCCCCUGAACGUAUCUUUAUUGGAAGAAAGUAGACGAGAAUAGAGACAUUAUCCACAGCCGCCAUAAACUCUGUAAUAUCCUCAUCUUCUUACCAAGCCAGCCAGAGAUCUCCGACUUUAUCGCCAAUAUACAUAUAUUCAGCUUGGCAUUGGUAAAUUAAAGCCGUAGCAAUUUAAGAAGUUGGACGGCGCAGAAACGCCAGAGAUUCAGAAGAACGAUAAGCCGUUGCCGUGGUUGCAAAGGCGAAUGCUCUAAGGAAAAGUAAGUGAAUUACCCGAUACCAAUUGAGACGGUGGCGGCUGCUCGACGAGGAUAAAUCACGCCGGUUGCCUUAUCAGAAACCACUGAAUCCCCACAACUUCCACGGCCGCACAGUCUCGCGCUAUUUUCUCAAUCGGUUUAUGCGCCGAGAAUAGCGGCACCAGAGUAAAGCAUUCGCCGAACUAACUAACGCGCAGCUGAUUAUUUUCAAGUUUCUCUUGAAUUAUUCUACAGACAGCCGCCUCAGCGGGUCAUCAAGAAGCUAUUCCGAUUCGUUCGAUUACCGGUAGAUGGAGAAGUAAAUUUCGAUCCUUCGUCCCUGGUUAAAUGAAACCGUGUCAAGUAGCGAAAGGAAGCAGAACGCUGGUAAAUGAUUGAACGAGUCUACAAAAACACUCAGAUACAGUGAACUCGUGCUUUUAAUUGAUCUCUGAUCAGAUAAAUGAUUGGUUUACGAUAUCGGUUAACGGUUGUUAAUUGGAAAACGCAUAUACAAUACAUUGUAUUCAAAGGUAUAGAGUUCGUACGUACUAUAUAUAUUUCUUUAGUUAUUAUAGCACGAAGAGAAGUUGUGAAAACUUUGUCACACCACUCUAAGCAUGUAUACUUAUAUCUGUAAUGAUUCUUAUUUAUGUAUACGGGGUGUCUCAGCUAAAUCAGAUCACCUAAACAUCAGCCUUGAGUAUUGUUUUAUUGUUUAUUUCUUUAGCAAAUUCCACGAUCAUCGGUAUUUUGUUGCAAUAGAACUCUAUGUAUACUUGUACGCCACUAGAUGUGAUUAUUUAUUCUCUAUGUAAAAAUUUAAAAAGUAUUAUGGUAAUUAUGCGGGCAUAUGUGUAAUUCAAAAGAUAUUUCGAUUUUAAUAUGAUGAAAUGCAUGAAAGAUAAGGAAGAUACAAAUUUCAGUCGCCAAGUUUUACAAAAUUAAGGUUCAAAUAUCUUUUAAACUAUUGUAGUAUCGUGGACAAAUGGUCUAAGAAAUAUCGGGUGAACCAUAAAUAAUGUUGAGAGAAGGCCUAAGUGCGGUUAGGCCAAAAGGGCCUGGCAGUUUUACCGGGUAAAAAAAUCCGCGAUCACUUAGUUGCCAACCCAAUAUAUACAUUUUUAUCCGAUGCAUUAAAAAAUUCUAUUAGACAAGUCAGAGACUUAAAUUUUCCCAUUAAACUUCAAAUGCAGAAACCGGGGAACUGCAAGGAACGAUAGGAGUAAUUUUAUUGAGGAAUCUUGAGUAAAAAUUCCAGACUUUGAAAUGGCGUUAAGAUAAGGCAUCGCUGUGCCUCGAAACUCUGCACAUUAGCCGAACGAUCCAAUUUAAUGAAAACCGUGGACGGGCAGUUCGACAUCUGGUAGAUGCUAAUCUCACGAAAAACGGAAAUUGCCCGGUACCAUUUUCCUAACCGUCCCACUUUAUUCGAAUUAAACUCCGGCUGGUAUCCUCAGGCGCAUCUUCCGCGUCUUCGAAUAACCUCGUCGACAUUGAAAUACUCUAAGAGUACAAACUCUAUAUCUACUCCGUUUCUUUAAAAAAUGAAAUUUAAUUAACAGUAAAUGGUCUGUUAACAGUUAUUUGAUAAAAAAAAAAAAUAUCUAUAUAUUGAGGUUAGGAGUUGACAACGCAGGAUAAAUCACUUUCACGUACGUUUUACUGUUGAUUUUUCUAAACGCAAACGAAGGCCACAGACGAGGUGCGUGAUAAAUAACAUUUGUUAUUCAUUUAUAGAAAAGUAUUCGAAUAUUCAAUUUCCGAUUAACCAAUUCUAUAUCGCAACUAUCCUUGCGCUUCAUUUUAUUAGGUUGGCAGCUAAGUGAUUGCGGAGUUUGUCAUUAGAUGGCAUUGACAAAAUCCGCCAUCACUUAGUUGUCAGUAACCUAAUAGAACUGAAUAAAUAUCACUCUCUUAAACAUUUAUAAAAUAUACACGAUGCUAAUUAAUUUGAAGUAAUUAUUCGUUUCUCACAACGUCUUAUCCUUUCUCCCAACUAUUCUGUUGAAGUGAUCACCACUUCUACGAAAACUCUACAUCUGGUCUUUUUAAUUUUCUCAAGCGCUGAAGCCAUCGACAGC